rnacentral:lncRNA from 1 species
AUUUGUUUUUCUACGUUGUAUUCACUAGAUUUAUAGUGAAUAAACUGUACUGAACUGAAGAACCAGUCUGCUUUUCACUUUGCAGAUAUGUAACAGAUUAAUACAGUCAGGAAAGACAUUUCUUUGAUUAGCAGCUGAUCAUCCAUUCGGAUGGUGGUUUACAGAAGAAACGCUAUCAGAUUUUUCUAAACCUUUAAAAUCACAUAUCCUUUUGGAAGUCAUCAAAACUCAAUACAUUCCCUGUUCAGUGGAUUUUCUGUGCUUUGAUUUCUCUCUCUGCAUAUAUUUAAAGUUCAUGAAAUUUUCAUUUCUGUUACUUCUGUAAUAGCAUUUCUUGUUCUUGUACAACUUGCUGAAGAAUUAGCCAAUAAUAUAAUAUAUUUAAAAGUCAUACUUUUUUCCUUAUCAAAUAUACUUGUAUGCAUAUGAACAUGGGAACGCAAGAAAAUUAUAAAUGGGGAAAAGAAUGAUAAGCAGGUUUUAUAGUAAAUGUCUUUCAUAAAGACUUGAUCUUAUUUGCAGUGAUUUCUUGGGGUAGUAUUCAGUAAAUCAGGGCCAAAAGAUUUUACUACUUAUAUACAGGAAUUAUUAGGAAGCUCCAAAUAAAAACUUGUUCCUUCAAUCCGAUAUGUACUCA